GCUGGCGGCGUGCUUAACACAUGCAAGUCGAGCGGUAAGGCCCUUCGGGGUACACGAGCGGCGAACGGGUGAGUAACACGUGGGUGAUCUGCCUUGCACUUCGGGAUAAGCCUGGGAAACCGGGUCUAAUACCGGAUAUGACCACGAGAUGCAUGUCUUGUGGUGGAAAGAUUUAUCGGUGCGAGAUGGGCCCGCGGCCUAUCAGCUUGUUGGUGAGGUAACGGCUCACCAAGGCGACGACGGGUAGCCGACCUGAGAGGGUGACCGGCCACACUGGGACUGAGACACGGCCCAGACUCCUACGGGAGGCAGCAGUGGGGAAUAUUGCACAAUGGGCGAAAGCCUGAUGCAGCGACGCCGCGUGCGGGAUGACGGCCUUCGGGUUGUAAACCGCUUUUGACAGGGACGAAGCGCAAGUGACUGUACCUGUAGAAUAAGGACCGGCCAACUACGUGCCAGCAGCCGCGGUAAUACGUAGGGUCCGAGCGUUGUCCGGAAUUACUGGGCGUAAAGAGCUUGUAGGCGGUUCGUCGCGUCGUUUGUGAAAACUUGGGGCUCAACCUUAAGCUUGCAGGCGAUACGGGCGGACUAGAGUACUUCAGGGGAGACUGGAAUUCCUGGUGUAGCGGUGAAAUGCGCAGAUAUCAGGAGGAACACCGGUGGCGAAGGCGGGUCUCUGGGAAGUAACUGACGCUGAGAAGCGAAAGCAUGGGUAGCAAACAGGAUUAGAUACCCUGGUAGUCCAUGCCGUAAACGGUGGGUACUAGGUGUGGGGCUCCUUCCACGGACUCCGUGCCGUAGCUAACGCAUUAAGUACCCCGCCUGGGGAGUACGGCCGCAAGGCUAAAACUCAAAGAAAUUGACGGGGGCCCGCACAAGCGGCGGAGCAUGUGGAUUAAUUCGAUGCAACGCGAAGAACCUUACCUGGGUUUGACAUACACCGGAAACCUGCAGAGAUGUAGGCCCCCUUGUGGUCGGUGUACAGGUGGUGCAUGGCUGUCGUCAGCUCGUGUCGUGAGAUGUUGGGUUAAGUCCCGCAACGAGCGCAACCCUUAUCUUAUGUUGCCAGCGCGUAAUGGCGGGGACUCGUGAGAGACUGCCGGGGUCAACUCGGAGGAAGGUGGGGACGACGUCAAGUCAUCAUGCCCCUUAUGUCCAGGGCUUCACACAUGCUACAAUGGCCGGUACAGAGGGCUGCGAUACCGCGAGGUGGAGCGAAUCCCUUAAAGCCGGUCUCAGUUCGGAUCGGGGUCUGCAACUCGACCCCGUGAAGUUGGAGUCGCUAGUAAUCGCAGAUCAGCAACGCUGCGGUGAAUACGUUCCCGGGCCUUGUACACACCGCCCGUCACGUCAUGAAAGUCGGUAACACCC
rnacentral:rRNA from 2 species